AUUGAACGCUGGCGGCAUGCCUUACACAUGCAAGUCGAACGGUAACGCGGGGCAACCUGGCGACGAGUGGCGAACGGGUGAGUAAUGCAUCGGAACGUGCCCAGUAGUGGGGGAUAGCCCGGCGAAAGCCGGAUUAAUACCGCAUACGACCUACGGGUGAAAGGGGGGGAUCGCAAGACCUCUCGCUAUUGGAGCGGCCGAUGUCAGAUUAGGUAGUUGGUGGGGUAAAGGCCCACCAAGCCUCCGAUCUGUAGCUGGUCUGAGAGGACGACCAGCCACACUGGGACUGGGACACGGCCCAGACUCCUACGGGAGGCAGCAGUGGGGAAUUUUGGACAAUGGGCGCAAGCCUGAUCCAGCCAUGCCGCGUGCGGGAAGAAGGCCUUCGGGUUGUAAACCGCUUUUGUCAGGGAAGAAACGCUCUGGGCUAAUACCUCGGGGUAAUGACGGUACCUGAAGAAUAAGCACCGGCUAACUACGUGCCAGCCGCCGCCGUAA
rnacentral:rRNA from 1 species